rnacentral:lncRNA from 1 species
GGAUUAACAUUUGGUAUUAUCAUAAUAGAAAACUGGUCUACUGGUCUCACUAGCGCUACUAUCCUGUCACUGACAACGGGAACACAUGUGCAGUAACAGCCACAUCGUGUCAGACUGAACACCAGCUGAAUUCUCCCUCCUGGCUUCACAGAGGCCCACAGCAGCUGCCUGAGGGAAGGCAUAGCAACAGGAUAACUGUGCCCACAGUAGCUGACAAAUCGCCAACAGUUUGCAGUUCAAGGACUGUUUGGUCGUGGAGUGUUUUUUGUUGCUGUUUUUGGCCAAAAAGCUCUGGAAUGUCAAACUCUAGCAGGAGGAAGACCCCCUCACCCAACCACCACCAAACAUCACAGUGGUGGAAGAUGCCUGGAGACUGUUUCCUCUGCCAUUUGUCCAGCUCCAGUGUGUGCUGGCUAGCAGCACAGGGAGACAUGACAUUGAAGAAUUUGUGUGUCAAUGACUGUGGCUGACCAUUGUAUGUCAGAUGACAGAACAAAAGAAAAAGUGUGAACACACAAAACUACUUCAGAUUUCUUUACAUUUGCUGAAGAAGCUCUUGCUUCAAAAUCUGAUGCUGAAUUUUGACUGUCAAAGAUGGAAUAACACCACUUAAGUCAAUACAUGAAAGGAGACUUACAAUGGUCAGGUGUGGUUUUUUGAGACGAAUAGAAUUGAUUAGCAGUUAUAGUUCAUAAUUUGUGACUGUUUUUGCAAUAUCACAAAUGUGGAACUCCAAAGUCUUGAGGUAGUGAUACACCUCUGGACCAGAGGGUAGAGGGAAUUUUAUUUGUCAAUUUAAGCAUUGUGUGACAUCUCUGAAAUCUAUCUCUGAAAUCUCAAUCUAAUUAAUUCAUUUUUUUAAGUAAUUUAUAAUGAAAACAAAUAUAGUCUCAGUACAAUGGUAUAACUCUGUUUUAGGCGUUCCCCACUUCUGUGUAUCCCUCUGAUGUGCGUAGUAUCUACUUUUGAGUCUCCUCAUGUUUGUGUGCUAAUAGCUACUGCAAUCUAAUAGCUAAUCUUGGUAUAAACUGUUCCCUUGCAGCUACAGCAACAGCUACGGAAUCACUCAGCAAUACAGAGGUGCUCACAAUAGGAACUAUUUAUUCACAUAAGGCAGAUUCACAGUCUGAGGUUUUAAGCACUUCAGGAAAUAGACUGUGAUCUAAUUUUUCAAAUACCUGUGUAACUGUUAAAUUGAAUGAAAAUUUUCCUUGUUUGUACUAGUGGGGGAUGAUACUAUUCUCCAUCAUUCUGUUCAGAAAAUGCCUUAAAGUCUCCAGCUAUAUUGUGUAUUGUUUCCAUGACAUAAAUUGCAUCAAGGUGCAGCUUAUUAGGCAAGAUUUUUAAAAUAAACGAGUCCCCUUUUAUUUGACUAGAUCCUUG